UAAGGAAUAUUGGUCAAUGGAGGCAACUCUGAACCAGCCAUGCCGCGUGAAGGAUUAAGGCCCUCUGGGUUGUAAACUUCUUUUAUAUGGGAAGAAAUGUUCUGAUUCUUCAGAGCUUGACGGUACCAUAGGAAUAAGCACCGGCUAACUCCGUGCCAGCAGCCGCGGUAAUACGUAGGUGGCAAGCGUUGUCCGGAUUUACUGGGCGUAAAGGAUGCGUAGGCGGAUACUUAAGUCAGAUGUGAAAAUCCCGGGCUUAACUUGGGAACUGCAUUUGAAACUGGGUAACUAGAGUGCGGGAGAGGAAAGUGGAAUUCCUAGUGUAGCGGUGAAAUGCGUAGAGAUUAGGAAGAACACCAGUGGCGAAGGCGACUUUCUGGACCGUAACUGACGCUGAGGCAUGAAAGCGUGGGGAGCAAACA
rnacentral:rRNA from 1 species